rnacentral:rRNA from 1 species
AUUGAACGCUGGCGGCAGGCUUAACACAUGCAAGUCGAGCGGGGUGAUGGUGCUUGCACUAUCACUUAGCGGCGGACGGGUGAGUAAUGCUUAGGAAUCUGCCUAUUAGUGGGGGACAACAUCUCGAAAGGGAUACUAAUACCGCAUACGUCCUACGGGAGAAAGCAGGGGAUCACUUGUGACCUUGCGCUAAUAGAUGAGCCUAAGUCGGAUUAGCUAGUUGGUGGGGUAAAGGCCUACCAAGGCGACGAGCUGUAGCGGGUCUGAGAGGAUGAUCCGCCACACUGGGACUGAGACACGGCCCAGAUGCCUACGGGAGGCAGCAGUGGGGAAGAUUGGACAAGGGGGGGAACCCUGAUCCAGCCAUGCCGCGUGUGUGAAGAAGGCCUUAUGGUUGUAAAGCACUUUAAGCGAGGAGGAGGCUCUUUUGGUUAAUACCCAAGAUGAGUGGACGUUACUCGCAGAAUAAGCACCGGCUAACUCUGUGCCAGCCGCCGCCGUAA